rfam:Xenorhabdus vietnamensis strain DSM 22392 Xvie_10, whole genome shotgun sequence.
CACAGUUUACUAAACUAUGAAUGGUAAGAUUGAAAUUGUUUGUUAUCUGUUUGAUCGAACAAAAACGCAGCAAAUGCAUAAGACGUAAUGUUUAAUCAAAUAAUUUAUGGGCUGCGGGUGGCAGCUUACUGGAUUGGGCAAAAUCUGUAUCUAAUUUAUUACAGCAUCCCAAUAGUGUACUGAGUUUAAAUGAAAUUCAGACUCAUCGACAAAUAGGCGCCUCUAUACAAACGAUAGCCGUGAGGCUGACGGUUUUGUAAAAGACACGAGGCCAUCGGUAGCCAGUAUUUCUCCCCUUUUUUACUCGCAGCUCUAUAUUA